UGAGGAAUAUUGGUCAAUGGACGAGAGUCUGAACCAGCCAAGUAGCGUGCAGGAUGACGGCCCUAUGGGUUGUAAACUGCUUUUAUAAGGGAAUAAAGUGAGUCUCGUGAGGCUUUUUGCAUGUACCUUAUGAAUAAGGACCGGCUAAUUCCGUGCCAGCAGCCGCGGUAAUACGGAAGGUCCGGGCGUUAUCCGGAUUUAUUGGGUUUAAAGGGAGCGUAGGCCGGAGAUUAAGCGUGUUGUGAAAUGUAGACGCUCAACGUCUGCACUGCAGCGCGAACUGGUUUCCUUGAGUACGCACAAAGUGGGCGGAAUUCGUGGUGUAGCGGUGAAAUGCUUAGAUAUCACGAAGAACUCCGAUUGCGAAGGCAGCUCACUGGAGCGCAACUGACGCUGAAGCUCGAAAGUGCGGGUAUCGAACAGG
rnacentral:rRNA from 1 species